rnacentral:rRNA from 1 species
UACGUAGGGUGCAAGCGUUAAUCGGAAUUACUGGGCGUAAAGCGUGCGCAGGCGGUGAUGUAAGACAGGUGUGAAAUCCCCGGGCUUAACCUGGGAAUGGCAUUUGGGACUGCAAGGCUGGAGUGCGGCAGAGGAGACUGGAAUUCCUGGUGAGCAGUGAAAUGCGUAGAUAUCAGGAGGAACACCGAUGGCGAAGGCAGGUCUCUGGGCUGACACUGACGCUCAUGCACGAAAGCGUGGGGAGCAAACAGGG